rnacentral:lncRNA from 1 species
ACGAAUUGUAUGAUUACAAUGUAAGAGAGAAUGUCUCCGUUGCAAAACAUGAGGUGCCAGACUCAUCUGAGAUCCCACCGGUACACUAGCUUGAUAAUUAUGAGCAACCACACACAUAUGAACAGAGAUUGUUCAGAUUUGCAUCACCAAUUUCUUCAGAUUUGUAUGGACAUACCUGCAGCUCCAUCCUGGAGCUCUAAGGUCCAUCUUGCCUAUCAAUUGUUCGGAAGCCUGCAGUGAAUCCUCCUGUGAUCUCCCACCUUCGCCCCCCGCACACAAAUCUGACCGUGAAAGCUCUAGGCGCGAGAGGCUCCAUUUGGGCGUAACUAUCAGUAACCUUCUCAAGCACCAUAGAUCUGCGCAGCAAGAUGAGGAAAUUCCAGAUCGACACCAUGGGAUCCAGAAUCGAACAAAAACUCAGACGAAUCUAAUGAGCUCUUACGCUACCUUAUUUGGCUGCAUAGGAUCUCCAUGCCCACCAGUGG